ACGUUCCAGGAAGCGUCAGUCAUCCAGUGGGCCUACAACCUCAACAACCCUCUGAGGCUGAUCGACCACGCCCCCGGCUCCCACACCGUAGCCUGGAGCGCCUUCUCUGUCAGCGCUGCAGCCGUCAUCCUGGAGACCGUCAAGCAGGCGGAGGACAGGAAGGAUGGUCUGGUAGUACGGCUCUAUGAGUCACAUGGCAGUCGUGUCAGUGUGUACCUCGCGACAGGCUUCCCCAUCACAGAGGCUUGGCACUGUGAUCUACUGGAGCGAGUGGAUCCCUCUCGCCCUGCACCAAUCACAGACUCCGGAAUCUCUAUCAGCUUCAGUCCUUUCCAGAUUGUGUCGCUUGUACUGUACCUGAAGUAAAAUGGUUUGGGGGCUGGUCUGAAUGUAAUUUUUCCCUGUAAAUUACGUUCAGCUUAUAAAGGCUUCAUUAUGCCUUCAUAAGCACUGCAUAAAUGUGUUAUAUAGCAUCUAUAACUGUAUGUCAUGCUUUCAAAAGGUUUCAUAAAUGUGUCAUCGACCACUGUGGAAUAUGAUAAAGACAUGCUUUAUAAAAGGGUGA